rnacentral:rRNA from 1 species
CAGUAGCCGCGGUAAUACGUAGGGUGCGAGCGUUAAUCGGAAUUACUGGGCGUAAAGCGUGCGCAGGCGGUUUUGUAAGACAGAGGUGAAAUCCCCGGGCUCAACCUGGGAACUGCCUUUGUGACUGCAAGGCUAGAGUACGGCAGAGGGGGAUGGAAUUCCGCGUGUAGCAGUGAAAUGCGUAGAUAUGCGGAGGAACACCAAUGGCGAAGGCAAUCCCCUGGGCCUGUACUGACGCUCAUGCACGAAAGCGUGGGGAGCAAACAGGAUUAGAUACCCCUGUAGUCCCUGUCUCUUAUAA